rnacentral:snRNA from 1 species
AUACUUACCUGGCAGGGGAGAUACCAUGAUCAAGAAAGUGGUUCACCCAGGGCGAGGCUCAGCCAUUGCACUUCAGUUGUCUGACUCUUGUCAAUUCCCCAAAUGUGGUGUUGGUCUUCAGUUCUUGUUACC